rnacentral:rRNA from 1 species
AUUGAACGCUGGCGGCAUGCUUUACACAUGCAAGUCGAACGGCAGCACGGGUGCUUGCACCUGGUGGCGAGUGGCGGACGGGUGAGUAAUACAUCGGAACGUAUCCAGAAGAGGGGGAUAACGCAUCGAAAGAUGUGCUAAUACCGCAUAUUCUCUGAGGAGGAAAGCAGGGGAUCGAAAGACCUUGCGCUUUGGGAGCGGCCGAUGUCUGAUUAGCUAGUUGGUGGGGUAAAGGCCUACCAAGGCGACGAUCAGUAGUUGGUCUGAGAGGACGACCAGCCACACUGGGACUGAGACACGGCCCAGACUCCUACGGGAGGCAGCAGUGGGGAAUUUUGGACAAUGGGCGCAAGCCUGAUCCAGCAAUGCCGCGUGAGUGAAGAAGGCCUCGGUUGUAAGACGUACUUCUAGUCGAGAAGAAAGGAC